GUGAGUACCGGCUAGUAUCGCGAGAUCAGGAAGGUGGCCGAGUGUGUCGCCGCGGCCAUCAGGCACUUCUCCUUCCUGCCCUUGUAUGAAGAAGGAUGUGUUUGCUUCCCCUUGUGCCAUGAUUGUAAAUUUCCUGAGGCCUCCUCAGCCCUGCAGAACUGGGGUUAUAGCCAUGUGACUGAUCUUCGUCCAAGAAUAUGUAAAGAAAAAGUGUUGAGUUGGCUUUUAGGGCUAGAGCAAUGUAUCUUAGGCUCACUUAAGGAAGCUGUAGAGAUGAGCCCAAGGAGGGAAACCAGAAGAGCCCCCCAGGCUCACCAGUUGUUUGUUGGCUCCCUACAAACAUGUCAUUCAAGUGGCUAAUCUUACAACAGCACAAAUUCAUCUAACCAGAGAUACUCUAUUAUAGCAAAGAAGAAAGAUAAUUUCAUUGAGCCAUCCUGUUUUACAGUAUUGAAUUAUUACCACAAGGUACCAACCAUAUAUGCAUACUUAAUAGGGUAUUUUGUCAAAACUAUGCAUGAAGGUCAUUUGUUUGAGAUGUCAGAACAUUUUCCCGUGAGAAGAUCUCAUUGGGCAUUGAAACAGAACCACAUGCUCUUCAGACCAGCAACCGCGACUACCAAAUACUCCUCUGUCAACUCUACUUGACACCCAACAGAAUCCCUUCAAAGCCUCGUGGUCUGACACCCUAUGCUACGUGACUUGUGACCCAUCCAUUUGUCAUGUUCUUCGGGAAUGUGGCUAAGGGGCUAAGAUGUGACUUGAAAAGAAAGGUAGAACAAGAUCAUCUCAAAUUUAUUAUCAAGGAAUAGUUCAGAAAACGACUUCAGACCACAGAGACAGCAGAACAGAUGGUCCGGCAUGGAUAGAGCAUCAGACACUCACAGACUGUGCCAACAAGAGCCAUCGAGUCAAAACAGCCAAAGGAAGGAGGGUCAUGGAAUGGGUUCUCUCACACCAAACUGAUGCCCAGAGGCCCUCAGCAUGAAUAACAAAGGCAACCAGACCCACAAGCCAUACUGAGUGGAUACAAAACCUAUACCUAGGCUGACAUCCCAAAUGUGUGUGGCAAGUUAGAUGAUGAUGGCACAAAAGACAGAACACCUUGCUUCUGGCCAUUGUCAGCUCUUGGAAGAGAGCACACUUUUAGAGGAGCAGCUGCAAGGAGCCUGAGAACAAAACUGGAAAUGUCUGUUAUGAAAGCCUUCACAGGAAAUUCUGCAAGUGGCAACGUGGGUCCAUUCCGUGUGUGUCACUAGAGCUGGCGCAAGCCCAUGGCCAUGGUGAGGCAGCGUUUCCACUGGAACUAAUCUGAUACCUGCACCAGCUCUUGCAACUGUGCAGUGUUCCCACUGCAAACUACGGAUGGGGUAAAAGACUGCUCACCUCCUAUUUCUCAUCUAAUCUCACACACUCUGUUUGAUGAGGCUAUGGAGAAACAGGUCUUCUCAUACACUAAAGGUGGGAGUACAAACAAUUCAAGCCCUGUGCAGGACAAUUAGGCAAUACCUAUCAAAAUUAUACAUGAUUUUUCCUGCUGACCCAGCAAUUCCACUUCUGGGAAUAAUUGACAGAUAUAGGUGCAUAUGUACAAAAUGAUGGAAAGCUCUCUGGUAUAUAUUAGUAAGUGAUAAAACAAGGUGUAAAAUAGUGUAUAUAUGGCUACUACCUUUUGUUUUAAAAAUGGGGGAAAAUGGUGGAGCUUGCGGUGAGCCGAGAUCGUGCCACUGCACUCCAGCCUGGGCGACAGAGCGAGACUCCGUCUCAAAAAAAAAACAGGGUGGGGUGGGGGGGAAAUAAUAGUACAUACUCAUAUUUACCUGUAUCUAUAUAAAACACACUAUCAAGGAUUCACAAGAAACUAAUACAAAUGAUCACCUUAUAGAUGGUAUGUAUUGGGGGAUACUGAGGUGAGCAGGGUAUAAGUGGGGCAAGACUUUUCAGUGUAAACUUCUUUUAAAUUUUAUUUUGAUUUUUGAAUAAUGUAAAUUAACUGUCAAAUAAUUAAAUUAAAAAUAACCAAUUUAUUAACAAAA
rnacentral:lncRNA from 1 species